ensembl:lncRNA
AUACCCUUUCUUCAUUGACAGAGCUGUCAUUUAGGCUCAAAAGAGUGGCGAUGAUCAUGGACUUCAGGAGGAACCCCCCUGCAGUCCCCCCACUCACCAUCAUAAACAGCAGUGUGGCUACAGUGGAGUCAUUCAAAUUCCUGGGCACCACCAUCUCUCAGGACCUGAAGUGGGACAAUCACAUUGACUCCAUUGUUAAAAAGGCCCAGCAGAGGUUGUAUUUCCCUCACCAGCUGCUGAUACAGUUCUAUUCUGCAGUGAUUGAAUCCGUCCUCUGCACUUCAAUAACUGUCUGAUUCAGCUCAGCUACCAAAUCAGACCUCAGAAUAUUGCAGCGGAUAGUCCAGACUGCUGAGUGAAUUACUGGUACAUCCCUCCCCACUCUCCAAGAACUGCACUCAUCCAGAGUGAGUAAUAGAGCUGGCAAAAUCACUCUUGACCCCUCACACCCUGGCCACUUCCUCUUUGAACUGUUGCUGUCUAGUCGGAUACAGAGCAUUGAGCACCAGAACAGCCAGACAUAAGAACAGAUCCUUUCCUCAGGCAAUCCGUCUCAUGAACAGUUAACUUGGCAAUAAACGUGUAAUAAACAACAAUACUUGUACAUUUAUUUAUUUAAAAACACCAAACUUCUUAUUCAUGUUUCCUUGAAUUUGUACAUUUCAUACUUGCAUAUUUCAUACAUAUUUUCUAUUUGUAUAUUGUGCAUUUUUUUUAAAUAUUUGUUGUAUAUUAUUAUUUCCUAUUCUAUUUUUAUGAUCUGUGUCUUGUCACUGUAAUCUGUUUGUGCUGUGGAAGCUUCUGUUGCCAAACAAAUUCCUUGUAUGUGUAAACGUACCUGACAAUAAAGCUCUUUCUGAUUCAAAAAAAAAAAAAAAAAAAAAAGAGCUUUUGGAAGAUCUUGAGACGUUUCCAGUGAUGGACAUGGUCUCCUGAUCAUUAUCUUGAAGAGCAGUGGGGAGAAAUCGAAUCUCAUGAACAACCUGGAACCAGAGUGGAGAGAAUGGCAUGUGUCACGGAGGCGUUUUCUGUGUGGUGUUAGAUGCCCUGGAAGGUUUCGCUUCGGGUCCUCAUCCUCCUCCUGCUCUCUUGAAAUCCUGGAGGGCAUGAAGUGUGUGUGGCUGUGGUCUAUUGCAUUGAUUUUAUCAGGAAGUCCGCGCCUGUCAGGGACUUUGCCUCGUCAAAUUAGGCCUUUUGACAUAACGUCCACAUUAAAGCCGGCGUGUGGAAUAAACACAUCGUCAUCAUUCAGUGUGAGCUGUUACCUUCAGCAUGGAACGUUACCAGCAAUCAAUCUGCGGCAAAUUCAGAGCGAUGUACAAUCUCCAGAAACCACAGAGUCUUUUUGAUUCAUGUCCGCUGUGCACAGCAGAAGUACAUCUUUGUUUUAUUCAUAAUCACCUGAGCUUCCUGAUCAAAGACUCCCACAGUACCUCCGUCCACCCACUGAGUGUUCCUCUGUGAUUAAACGGGACCGCCUGCCCGUCACGCACCAUCCAGAACCCGCCAUAAUCUUUUCAUCAGGUGCUUCCUUCAUUUCAGUCUUCGUUAGUCGUCCUUGUGGGAAUUCUGCCUCUCUUUCUUCCCCCUCUUUUUCCUUCCAGGAUGAAAUGAAUGGGAAAUAAUAAAGCUUACAUACUGCUUUGAUGCUUCUACCUGAAUAAAUUCUCAUUUCCCACGGUCUCAGCACAUCGGUGGCUCACGGUGUUCCACAUCUCUGCUGACAUGAAAAAGGGAGCUGGCAAGGUUGGUGGCAUCUUCUGGUAUAAAGUAAGAUGUGACAGCUUAUCCGAGUUGAUAUUGAGACAGUUAUCCGAGUCCGUUUUGACAUCUUUCAUCAUUCAGGUUUAUUUCUACUUUCUUUUCACCACAUCCAUUGUUCUGUAGACUUAUGUGUCUUUCAUGCUACAGUGCUUUGUAGAAAACCUUCGAGCACAAGACAUUUUUUUUUUUUUUUAUAACUUCUAGGCUGUUGUUUAAAAUAUUUUAAGAGAUCAUUUAGAUCAUGUUGCUAUGCGGUUGCUAGGGUGUUCUGAAUGGUCUCCAUAAAAGUGCACAAGUGCCCACUUUUUCAGCAGCGUAGGUUCCUGAAGUAUUUUUCCAUUAAUUGUAAAAGUCUUUGCUAAAGCAUUUGAAGCCAUGAACCAAGUCAACUAGCUUUUUUGUAGUCUUUAACGUUUUCAUUAGUAACUGUAAUUCAAUUGAAUUUAACAGAUUACAGUUACAUUUAUUUUGUUAUUAAAUUAUGUAUAGCCAUUACAUGUGACUAGUCACUCUCCAACACUGCAAAU